CAACGCCGGGAAACUCACCAGAUAAGACAGCUGAAUGAUAGUCGGGCUGAAGACUCUACUUGACUAGCUGAGAGGAGGUGCAUGGCCGUCGUCAGUUCGUACUGUGAAGCAUCCUGUUAAGUCAGGCAACGAGCGAGACCCACGCCAACAGUUGCCAGCUCGUCCUCCGGGAUGGUGGGGACACUGUUGGGACCGCCUCUGCUAAAGAGGAGGAAGGAAUGGGCAACGGUAGGUCAGCAUGCCCCGAAUUAUCUGGGCUACACGCGGGCUACAAUGGGUGGGACAAUGGGUAUCGACACCGAAAGGUGAAGGCAAUCUCCUAAACCCAUCCGUAGUUCGGAUUGUGGGCUGCAACUCGCCCACAUGAAGCUGGAAUCUGUAGUAAUCGUGUCUCAAAAUGGCACGGUGAAUAUGUCCCUGCUCCUU
rnacentral:rRNA from 1 species